GACGUAGGGGGCAAGCGUUGUCCGGAAUCAUUGGGCGUAAAGCGCUCGUAGGCGGAUCAGUAAGUCUGUGAAGAAAGACCCGGGCUCAACUCGGGGAACGGCAUGGAUACUAUUGAUCUUGAGGUAAUCAGAGGAUGAUGGAAUUCCCGGUGUAGAGGUGAAAUUCGUAGAUAUUCGGAAGAACACCAGUGGCGAAGGCGACUUACUGGACACAUAUUGACGCUGAGGUGCGAAAGCGUGGGGAGCAAACAGG
rnacentral:rRNA from 1 species